rnacentral:RNase_P_RNA from 1 species
GAGGCAGCCCGGGUAGCCGCGGAGGCGCGCUUCGGUGGGCCUUCGAGGAAAGUCCGGACACCGUAGAGCAGGGUGCUGGAUAACGUCCAGCGGGGGAAACCCCAGGGAAAGCGCCACAGAAAGGACACAGCACACCGGCAGGUCCGGUUGCGAAGGUGAAAUGGUGCGGUAAGAGCGCACCGGCGUCGUGGUGACACGGCGGCCAGGCAAGCCCCACCCGGUGCAAGGCCGAAUA